rnacentral:rRNA from 1 species
GGAAACCGGGGCUAAUACCGGAUGCUUGAUUGAACCGCAUGGUUCAAUCAUAAAAGGUGGCUUUUAGCUACCACUUACAGAUGGACCCGCGGCGCAUUAGCUAGUUGGUGAGGUAACGGCUCACCAAGGCGACGAUGCGUAGCCGACCUGAGAGGGUGAUCGGCCACACUGGGACUGAGACACGGCCCAGACUCCUACGGGAGGCAGCAGUAGGGAAUCUUCCGCAAUGGACGAAAGUCUGACGGAGCAACGCCGCGUGAGUGAUGAAGGUUUUCGGAUCGUAAAACUCUGUUGUUAGGGAAGAACAAGUACCGUUCGAAUAGGGCGGUACCUUGACGGUACCUAACCAGAAAGCCACGGCUAACUACGUGCCAGCAGCCGCGGUAAUACGUAGGUGGCAAGCGUUGUCCGGAAUUAUUGGGCGUAAAGCGCGCGCAGGCGGUUUCUUAAGUCUGAUGUGAAAGCCCCCGGCUCAACCGGGGAGGGUCAUUGGAAACUGGGGAACUUGAGUGCAGAAGAGGAGAGUGGAAUUCCACGUGUAGCGGUGAAAUGCGUAGAGAUGUGGAGGAACACCAGUGGCGAAGGCGACUCUCUGGUCUGUAACUGACGCUGAGGCGCGAAAGCGUGGGGAGCGAACAGGAUUAGAUACCCUGGUAGUCCACGCCGUAAACGAUGAGUGCUAAGUGUUAGAGGGUUUCCGCCCUUUAGUGCUGCAGCAAACGCAUUAAGCACUCCGCCUGGGGAGUACGGUCGCAAGACUGAAACUCAAAGGAAUUGACGGGGGCCCGCACAAGCGGUGGAGCAUGUGGUUUAAUUCGAAGCAACGCGAAGAACCUUACCAGGUCUUGACAUCCUCUGACAACCCUAGAGAUAGGGCUUCCCCUUCGGGGGCAGAGUGACAGGUGGUGCAUGGUUGUCGUCAGCUCGUGUCGUGAGAUGUUGGGUUAAGUCCCGCAACGAGCGCAACCCUUGAUCUUAGUUGCCAGCAUUCAGUUGGGCACUCUAAGGUGACUGCCGGUGACAAACCGGAGGAAGGUGGGGAUGACGUCAAAUCAUCAUGCCCCUUAUGACCUGGGCUACACACGUGCUACAAUGGGCAGAACAAAGGGCAGCGAAGCCGCGAGGCUAAGCCAAUCCCACAAAUCUGUUCUCAGUUCGGAU